UAUAAAAAUGCUUGUACAUGUAAAAGGCAAACUAUAAAAAUAUUUCUUUGCAUAUAUUCACAUUUUAUGACAAUAAAUAUAUAUUUCAAAUUUAUUGAUUAUAAAAUGUUAUUUUGUAGCCUUCUUUAUAUAACUAACCACUCGGGGGGGGGGGGGGUGACAUUGAUAGAAUAAGAAGGUUGUGUGGUGUGUUUCACUCAAUUAAGUUUGAUAAGUCAUUGCUUGACUAACUUCCAGUAUCUAAAACAUGUAUAUGACACGCAUAUAUUUCAGGAAAACUUAUCAAUAGUGUGGUACAAUUUGCAAACGGACCAACCGGGAUGAAAGAGAGGGAGCAUUUGAACAGUCACGAAAAUGUGUGUCAUCUUAGAAUAGACCUUUUGUUUCGUAUAGACAAUAUAAUAUACGGAAGUCUUAUUUGGAUUGUGUAUAAUAGUUUAUCUCGUCCUAUUCAAUGUUUAUUUUUCCGGCUGUGAUUUUGAUGUUGAUUCUUUAUGCCUAAAACGGCACACUAUAUAAGAUACGAAAAUCCAGUUAAUGAGAUACCCGUAUGUUUAUGGUUUAACUGUAUUACUUCGAUUGAUUUAAUAUCCUGCCACCAGUCUAGGAAAAAAUACCAGCAGCAGCAAAUAUAGAAUCAUUUUUAAUAAUAAAUCAAGUUGCUGGUAUUGUUUGGCUAUGUGACUUGCUUUUGGCAUCAAUAAUCACGAAUUAUGUGCUGCUCAUUGAGAACAUUAUGAAUCAAUUUCCUUUUAUAAUAUCAAAUAUAUUGAUAAAGACAAAAUUUCAAAAUGUUGUUUCAAUAACUUUCGAUGAGUUUCAAAAUAUUUAGGUAUUUUUAAUUUCUUUAACGAAAAAAGUGGAGUAAAAAAUGGAUAUAAAACAUACAUUUUCCUAAUAUAUACAAAAAAAAAUAAACAGAAGUUAAUUUUGGUCCAAAAGACCCAAACGUUUUGUUUAAUCAGUUAAAAUACUCUUUAAUCAUGUGUUAAUAGCAAAUGCAAAAUUCGUUUAAUCUUUACUGACUUUUUGCCUAUGAAUAGAAACUAAAAUAUCAAAGGAUUAAAAUUGGCAAAAGUGGAUUUCAGAAACGAGGAAUUGUAAUAUAAUAAUAUAAAUAAAUUUUGUGUUUUUACUGUCUUCUGAUUGGUUAAAAUUAUUAGUUUUAUUUUCAAUGUUGUCAAUUUUGAUGCCGAUACGCCCACUUUGACGUUGUGUAUUCAUACGCCAACCUGUGUGUACGUUGUUAUUGUUAAUAUAAAUUAUAUAAAAAGUUCUUUGAGCCUUAGUUUUGAUAGAAAUUU
rnacentral:lncRNA from 1 species